UACAGAGGGUGCGAACGUUGCUCGGAAUUACUGGGCGUAAAGGGCGCGUAGGCGGACAGUUUAGUCAGAGGUGAAAGCCCAGGGCUCAACCCUGGAAUUGCCUUUGAUACUGACUGUCUUGAGUACGGGAGAGGUGUGUGGAACUCCGAGUGUAGAGGUGAAAUUCGUAGAUAUUCGGAAGAACGCCAGUGGCGAAGGCGACACACUGGCCCGUUACUGACGCUGAGGCGCGAAAGCGUGGGGAGCAAACAGG
rnacentral:rRNA from 1 species